AGAGCUGUCCAGCCCCGGUCUGGACGCCGUCCCUUGUGGUGAGGAGCAGGCCCCACUCCUGGAGCCUCCCCCCCUCCGCCCCCUUCCUACCCCUAGACCAUCUGUUUUGUUCUUACAAACCCCUCAGACCCGUGGAAAACCGAGGCGGACGAGCCCCUCUUCAAAAGAGGGGGUGGGUGGGAUGAUUUAUUUGCUUUUGGUUUUAUUUUUGGUUUUUCCCCCUCUUUUCUGAUGCUCCCAACUGCUUCCACAGACGCGCCAUCGCAGAUGUCUCCCUCCGAAGUUUGAGGUGGCUGAAAUUCCUUGUCCCAUUCCCGGCAACAUCACGAGGAUGAAAGGACGGGCAGAGGCGCCGAACGGUUCAGUUUCCACCCCGUAGCCCUCGGGAUCUAUUGGAAUUCAGCGAGGAAAUUAAUUUAUUGAAGCAUGAAAAUCCCAUACGGAGCCACACAGAAGGGAAAGCUCAUUAAACUAUGCAGCAAUUAGAACACACGCAGAACACUUGAACUUACCUCCAACAUGUUAAUAGGUCCCAGUUCUGAAACAAGAGGAAUAUUUUGCUGCAAGAAUGCAACGGAACAGGAAAGUCUUUCCACCCACUCCUCUCUGGCCAAGCUGAAAGAAUGGGGUUCUUUUAGACUCCAUACUGAUAGUGUUGUAAAAGAGUAAUGGUAAAGAUAAUAAAAGGAGCUACAGAAACA
rnacentral:lncRNA from 1 species